rnacentral:rRNA from 1 species
GACGAACCGUGCGAACGUUAUUCGGAAUCACUGGGCUUAAAGGGCGCGUAGGCGGUUCGUCAAGUCCUGUGUGAAAUCCCCCGGCUCAACUGGGGAACUGCACAGGAAACUAGCGGGCUUGAGUUCGGGAGAGGGAAGCGGAAUUCCGGGUGUAGCGGUGAAAUGCGUAGAUAUCCGGAGGAACACCGGUGGCGAAGGCGGCUUCCUGGACCGACACUGACGCUGAGGCGCGAAAGCUAGGGGAGCAAACGGG